GAUGAAGAACGUAGCGAAAUGCGAUAAGUAAUGUGAAUUGCAGAAUUCAGUGAAUCAUCGAAUCUUUGAACGCACGUUGCGCCCCUUGGUAUUCCGAGGGGCAUGCCUGUUCGAGCGUCAUUAUAACCCCUCAAGCUCAGCUUGGUGUUGGGGCCUGCUGCACUGGCAGCCCUUAAAAUCAGUGGCGGCGCCAUCUGGCUCUAAGCGUAGUAAUUCUUCUCGCUAUGGAGUCCUGGUGGAUGCUUGCCAUCAACCCCCAAUUUUUCUAUGGUUGACCUCGGAUCAGGUAGGGAUACCCGCUGAACUUAAGCAUAUCAAUAAGCGGAGGA
rnacentral:misc_RNA from 1 species